rnacentral:rRNA from 1 species
UCUCCAGACUCCUACGGGAGGCAGCAGUGAGGAAUAUUGGUCAAUGGGCUUACGCCUGAACCAGCCAAGUCGCGUGAGGGAAGACUGCCCUAUGGGUUGUAAACCUCUUUUGUCAGGGAGCAACGCCGGCUACGUGUAGCCGGACUGAGAGUACCUGAAGAAAAAGCAUCGGCUAACUCCGUGCCAGCAGCCGCGGUAAUACGGAGGAUGCGAGCGUUAUCCGGAUUUAUUGGGUUUAAAGGGUGCGUAGGCGGAAUGCCAGGUCAGGGGUAAAAUCGCGGGGCUCAACCUCGCUCCGCCGUUGAAACUGGCGUUCUUGAGUGGGCGAGAAGUAUGCGGAAUGCGUGGUGUAGCGGUGAAAUGCAUAGAUAUCACACAGAACACCGAUUGCGAAGGCAUCUCACGAAUCCGCGAUUGACGCUGAUGCACGAAAGCGUGGGUAUCAAACAGGAUUAGAUACCCCUGUA